GUGGCCGCUGUUUACCUCGCUGUCUGCCAAGUCGGACUCGAACUGCGACUGAAUCUGCGCUCCAUCUCUUUACGGGUAACUUCUAGAAAGAAGACUUUGGACGACGCUUUUCUGCCUAUUUUGUUGUUAGUUUUUUUUUUCCUGCCGUGAACCGACUCUACACCGAAAGCGGCCAACAACUGUGCUUAACGCAAAGGUCAGGGACAUCGGAACGGGACAUAUUUUGCCUAAUUGUAGUGCCACGCUGCCAGUGAGGGUGAACCUGAUGCACGGAGGACACCCCGGGGUCAUUGCUGAGGGAGGGAGACCGGGGAAGGCAGGUAAGAGAAGCUAGCAACAGAAAGAAAAGAGACCCAUUUGAUGGAAGAAAAGCGAAAGAAAAAACAAGAAGAAAAGGAGGCCUGACGUCGCUCAGAAAAA
ensembl:lncRNA